rnacentral:rRNA from 1 species
UACAGAGGGGGCAAGCGUUGUUCGGAAUUACUGGGCGUAAAGAGCGCGCAGGCGGUCGUUCAAGUCGCGUGUGAAAGCCCCCGGCUCAACUGGGGAGGGUCACGCGAUACUGAUCGACUCGAAGGCAGGAGAGGGUAGUGGAAUUCCCGGUGUAGUGGUGAAAUGCGUAGAUAUCGGGAGGAACACCAGUGGCGAAGGCGACUACCUGGCCUGUUCUUGACGCUGAGGCGCGAAAGCUAGGGGAGCAAACGGGG